rnacentral:rRNA from 1 species
UACGAAGGGGGCUAGCGUUGCUCGGAAUCACUGGGCGUAAAGGGUGCGUAGGCGGGUCUUUAAGUCAGGGGGGAAAUCCUGGAGCUCAACUCCAGAACUGCCUUUGAUACUGAGGAUCUUGAGUUCGGGAGAGGUGAGUGGAACUGCGAGUGUAGAGGUGAAAUUCGUAGAUAUUCGCAAGAACACCAGUGGCGAAGGCGGCUUACUGGUCCGGUUCUGACGCUGAGGCGCGAAAGCGUGGGGAGCAAACAGG